UGAUUGGAAGGGCUGCUGAGUGGUUCCUGGAAACAGCCCUCCAUGAGACCGUACCCUAAACCGACACAGGUGGACUGGUAGAGAAUACCAAGGCGCUUGAGAGAACCACAUUUAAGGAACUCGGCAAAAUACCUCCGUAAGUUCGCGAGAAGGAGGCCCCGUUUGUACGCAAGUAUGGGCGGGGGGCACAAACCAGGGGGUGGCGACUGUUUACUAAAAACACAGGGCUCUGCGAAGCCGUAAGGCGACGUAUAGGGUCUGACGCCUGCCCGGUGCCGGAAGGUUAAAAGGAGAUGUGCAAGCAUUGAAUUGAAGCCCCGGUAAACGGCGGCCGUAACUAUAACGGUCCUAAGGUAGCGAAAUUCCUUGUCGGGUAAGUUCCGACCUGCGCGAAUGGCGUAACGACUUCCCCGCUGUCUCAAAUGUGGACUCAGCGAAAUUGAAUUGUCUGUGAAGAUGCAGACUUCCCGCGGUUAGACGGAAAGACCCCAUGCACCUUUACUAUAGCUUCGCACUGGCAUCAGGAUUGUGAUGUGCAGGAUAGGUGGUAGGCAUUGAAACCGGGACGCCAGUUCCGGUGGAGCCAUCCUUGAGAUACCACCCUUCGCACUCUUGAUGUCUAACCGCGGCCCGUUAUCCGGGUCCGGGACCCUGCGUGGUGGGUAGUUUGACUGGGGCGGUCGCCUCCCAAAGAGUAACGGAGGCGCGCGAAGGUUGGCUCAGAGCGGUCGGAAAUCGCUCGUUGAGUGCAAUGGCAGAAGCCAGCCUGACUGCAAGACUGACAAGUCGAGCGGAGACGAAAGUCGGCCAUAGUGAUCCGGUGGUCCCGAGUGGAAGGGCCAUCGCUCAACGGAUAAAAGGUACGCUGGGGAUAACAGGCUGAUGAUGCCCAAGAGUCCAUAUCGACGGCAUCGUUUGGCACCUCGAUGUCGGCUCAUCUCAUCCUGGGGCUGGAGCAGGUCCCAAGGGUAUGGCUGUUCGCCAUUUAAAGAGGUACGUGAGCUGGGUUUAGAACGUCGUGAGACAGUUCGGUCCCUAUCUGCCGUGGGUGUAGGAUACUUGAGAGGAGUUGCCCCUAGUACGAGAGGACCGGGGUGAACGUUCCACUGGUGGACCAGUUGUCGUGCCAACGGCAGUGCUGGGUAGCUAUGAACGGACAGGAUAAACGCUGAAGGCAUCUAAGCGUGAAGCCCCCCUCAAAACAAGGUAUCCCUUGAGAGCCGUGGAAGACCACCACGUCGAUAGGCCGGAGAUGUAAGCGCAGCAAUGCGUUCAGUUGACCGGUACUAAUGGCUUG
rnacentral:rRNA from 1 species